GCAAACUUGGUCAUUUAGAGGAAGUAAAAGUCGUAACAAGGUUUUCGUAGGUGAACCUGCGGAAGGAUCAUUACUGAAGUCCAGGGGGGAGUGCUGGCCUCUGUGCAUGUGCACCCUUCUUCCUUCAUCCACACACACCUGUGCACCCAUUGAGGCGGGUCUUCCCAUGUCUGGAGCAGGCAGGAGUAGGUUUUUUGACCCCCCGGCCCGAAGACUCGCCUACACUUUUCACAAACUCUUGAUGUGACUUGGAACGUAUUCGCGGCAUCGCCGCAAAAUUAAUACACAACUUUCAACAACGGAUCUCUUGGUUCUCGCAUCGAUGAAGAACGCAGC
rnacentral:misc_RNA from 1 species